GAUGAACGCUGGCGGCGUGCCUAAUACAUGCAAGUCGAGCGAACGGACGAGAAGCUUGCUUCUCUGAUGUUAGCGGCGGACGGGUGAGUAACACGUGGAUAACCUACCUAUAAGACUGGGAUAACUUCGGGAAACCGGAGCUAAUACCGGAUAAUAUUUUGAACCGCAUGGUUCAAAAGUGAAAGACGGUCUUGCUGUCACUUAUAGAUGGAUCCGCGCUGCAUUAGCUAGUUGGUAAGGUAACGGCUUACCAAGGCAACGAUGCAUAGCCGACCUGAGAGGGUGAUCGGCCAAACUGGAACUGAGACACGGUCCAGACUCCUACGGGAGGCAGCAGUAGGGAAUCUUCCGCAAAGGGCGAAAGCCUGACGGAGCAACGCCGCGUGAGUGAUGAAGGUCUUCGGAUCGUAAAACUCUGUUAUUAGGGAAGAAAAUAUGUGUAAGUAACUGUGGACAUCUUGACGGUACCUAAUCAGAAAGCCACGGCUAACUACGUG
rnacentral:rRNA from 1 species